CCAGGGGCCACAAGAGGUUGGAAUUCACUCCUCAAACCUGGUUGCUUUAAAGCUUCUGCCUUCCUGCCCUCUUUUGGCGUCGGUGCCAUAGCCUUUUCAUCCGGCCUUGAGCGUAAAUCAUUAGCUCUAGCCGUGGACACAAAUCGGGACUCAAACACACAGGCAUGUGUGGGAAGGGCCUGAGGGCAGCUCAACGGUGUAAAUGGAAGGCUGCAGAUCUCUCGAGGGGUUUCCUUCUGGAAAAUGGAAUACUCAGAUGGAUUCCAAAUGGAGGGAGAAGAGAUUCCACGCUCACUCAACUGGGUGAAAAAAGCGAGGUACGUGUAGGCAUGGUGAUUGAGAAAGGUGUCCACGUCACGCUGUGAGUUUGAGAACUCGAGCUGCGGGACAGUGCGACCCUACAGAUAUAAGAUAAAAUGAACUGUGUUCGUGUAUGUCGAGUUUAAGAAAUCAUUUUACAGUCAGUGGUUACCUCUGAUGUGGGUGGGAAAUAUUUAAUUUUAUUGCCUUCUUUCCUUUUGGAUUUCUGCAUGGUACUUUUAUCCCUUUUUUAAUUUGAAAAGACAAAUUCUCAUCCACUGUUCCCUCCUCUUUCUGAGAAGGUGAGUUCUCGGAAGAGAACGCAGACCUUUCCUCUGGCCAACCUCCCUUCCCCCUUAUAUCAAACCCCUGGAGUCAGCCCCGAUUUCUGCCUGAUCAGAGGGAGGACUGCUGGGUCAGGACAUCUAUAUGCAGUAUAAAAACAGCCAAGGAAGACAACAAAGUGACCUCUGAACUUUUUAUUGGCCUUCUGCUGCCCAGAGGGUACCCUGCUUUUGCUGCCUCAACGCCUCAGAACUUUGGUGUCGUUGGUCUCAGACACCACCUUGCCGUCCACAAUCCUGCGCGUGGUGGUCUUCUGGAUGGUCUGAAUGGAGCUGCUGCUGUCCAGGGCGUCAGUAAGACUGUAACAGAAGACCGAGCCCCGGUUACGAACAGCUCUGCGGAGUAGCAGGGAGUCAAGGAAAGGGAAGAAAAAAAUGCUCCUGACCCCUGCCUUUAUCUCCACAUUCUUUUGACCACUUCCUCCAUAAAAGAGAAACCCAGGGCCAAA